rnacentral:lncRNA from 1 species
UGAGAACCGUUCUGAUAUGUUGCUUGGCCUUUUGGAAAACCGCACAUCAGCGUCCUUUGAUAUGGUGCUUGCCUUGUUAGAAAACAGCACAUCAGUAUCUCAUGAAGGCCCCAACGGAAAGACGGCUUUACAUACUGCAGCAAUGAAAUCUUAUGCCGGUAAGUUUAAUUAUACCCUUUCAGUGAAUUAUUAGAUUUAGUGAGUUAUUAAAUUAGCGAAUUAUUAAAUUUAGUGAAUUAUUAACUAAAUCUAAUUAUACCCUCAAAGAGAAUUAUUUAACUACUAUUCUCAAUUCCAGUUUUUCUCCUCACUCAUCAUGAAUCAAUCAUAAUUUCUGAAAAUCACAAUCAAUUAUAAUGAUAUCAGUAAGUAAACUUGUUUUUCAUAUAUGAAAAUACAUACUUGUUUACAUAUAAUGCAAAUGGAUAACAUGCCAGAGUCUUUUAAAAAUAUUGUAAAACAAAUUCAUUAAAAUUUCUUUUGCCAUGUUCAAACUUCACAUUUCCUUUUAAAUCACUUACUUCAAUUACCUUAAUUCAAUUACUAUUCAAUAGGACUCUACUUAAUAUUAAUAACUUUGAUUUUCGUGUAAACUUCCUUCACCCACUUAUCUCUUAAACAUUAUAUCUACAAUGUCCACUAAGGGAGUAAAGAAUUCAAGAAACUAAGCAAAAUCGAAAAACUUUCUUUCUUUCUUCAAAAUCAAUUUGCUCAAAUCCACUUUCUUAUUUUCCAAAAAACAUAGUGCAUAUUCAUGUUAAUACCAAUAAACUUUCACACAUACAUAUGUCUGUAUAUAAAUCAUAUUUGACACAUAACAACACAUCGCAUAAAUACAUAGAAAGACCAUAUAAAUCCAUACCCCGUACAUAUCAAAAUAAACUUUUGAAACACGUAAAAUAGAUACAUAUUUUUUAUUGUGAUUAAGUAACAAAAGUGUCUUACACCAUCGGCCUAAAACCAAUAAUAAAACGCUCAUGAGAUAUCAUCAUAUCCUCAUUCAUGAGUUACUAAAAUAUCCCAAAAUUUCUUUUCAAAAAAAAAAAUCCAAAAUUUUAAAUUACCAAAUUACCCUUAAAAAUUCUAAAUUACCAAAAUGCCCUCGCUGGUUAAUGACCGGAAUUCGAGCGGCAAUGAUCAAAUAAGUCAAAACAGGAACUUCAGCUCGCUCUGAAUCCAAAGGUGGCAGCGGUGUGCUCCGACGCGCAGCCAUGGUGCCCGAUCGAGUUUCGACAGCCGUGAAACUUCAACGGCUGAUCGGCGACAAAUCGGCUACUGUUGAUGGUCAGAAAUUGAAGUGACUGCCAUAAAGGACAAAUCCCAGGUGACGACAUGACCGAAAUCCGGUAAAAACUCGCCGAUUGAGUCGUCGUCCUCCAUGACUUAACACGGGUUCGUGGGGGUGGUCAUAGGCCGUUUUCCGGCAACAAUGAUGAUGGGGGAAUGACCGCGUCGUCUGGGAGCUCGGUUGAUACCCUCCAUCGCCGGAGAUGUGGCCGGAAUCGGAAGCACCGAUUCAGGUUUCGUGAACGGGUUGACCCGACUUGUUUCCUCUCUCCUCUGAGCCGAUCGCCACGUUCUCUCUCCCACUUAAUUCACUUAAUCCAGUUAAUGACUAAAUAUCCUUAGGAGAAUUAAUCUUUUUAUUAAUGACAAAAAUACUCUUAAUUUAUGAAGAAAUUAAGUGCUGUUAUGAAGGAAUUAAUUUUUUUACUGCGAAAUGCUCCUAAAAAAUUAAUCUUUAGAACUGUAAAUAUAGUGAAAAUUGGUCUUUUGGAUAACUAAGAUAGGGAAAGUUGGUUUUAGGAUAAUUAGAUUUACCAAAUUGGUCUUUAGAAUAGUGCUUCAAACGUGUCUUAGUGAAUUUUGCAAAAAUUGUUAUUUCUAGAUGCAAACUCAG